rnacentral:rRNA from 1 species
CCUACGGGGGGCAGCAGUAGGGGAUAUUGCACAAUGGGGGGAACCCUGAUGCAGCGACGCCGCGUGGAGGAUGAAGGUCUUCGGCGCGUAAACUCCUGUCGUCAGAGAAGAUAAUGACGGUAUCUAACGAAUAAGCACCGGCUAACUCCGUGCCAGCAGCCGCGGUAAUACGGAGGGGGCAAGCGUUACUCGGAAUCACUGGGCGUAAAGGGCGCGUAGGCGGGAUAGCAAGUCAGAUGUGAAAGCCUAGGGCUUAACCAUAGAACUGCAUUUGAAACUGUGAGGCUGGAGUACGGGAGAGGUAGGUGGAAUUCCUGGUGUAGGGGUAAAAUCCGUAGAGAUCAAGAGGAAUACCGAUGGCGAAGGCGACCUGCUAGAACAUAACUGACGCUGAUGCGCGAAAGCGUGGGGAGCAAACAGGAUUAGAUACCCGGGUAGUC